rnacentral:rRNA from 1 species
GUCUCUUUGUACUUUAUAAAUAAAGAGUCGGGCCUGCUCGGUGAAUGUAAAUUGUUUUAACAGCUGCGGUAUUUUAACUGUACUAAGGUAGCAUAAUAAUUUGCCUUAUAAUUUGAGGCUAGAAUGAAUGGUUUGACGAAGGUUAAUCUGUCUCUAUCUUAUUUAUUAGAAUUUAAUUUUUAAAGUGAAAAAGCUUAAAUUUUUUAAAGGGACGAGAAGACCCUAUUGAGCUUAUAAUUUUAUUGUUAUUUUAUUCUUAAUGUAUAAAGUAGCAUAUAAAUUUUAAUUGGGGUGAUUAAGGAAUAAAUUAAUAAAAUUAAGUAACUUCCUUAGUUUAAAUAUUGUUGAAUAAAGUAACCAAUAUUAUUGCUUAUAGUAUAGUUACCAUAGGGAUAACAGCGUAAUUUAUUUAGAGAGUUCUUAUUGAAAAAUGAGAUUGCGACCUCGAUGUUGGAUUAAAGUAACCUUAAGGUGCAGAGGCUUUAAAAGGUAAAUCUGUUCGAUUUUUAAAACUUUACA